GACGAACGCUGGCGGCGUGCCUAACACAUGCAAGUCGAGCGAUGAAGUUUCCUUCGGGAAAUAGAUUAGCGGCGGACGGGUGAGUAACACGUGGGUAACCUGCCUUGUAGAGGGGAAUAGCCUUCCGAAAGGAAGAUUAAUACCGCAUAAUAUUGUACUUUCGCAUGAAAGAACAAUUAAAGGAGCAAUCCGCUACAAGAUGGACCCGCGGCGCAUUAGCUAGUUGGUAAGGUAAUGGCUUACCAAGGCGACGAUGCGUAGCCGACCUGAGAGGGUGAUCGGCCACAUUGGGACUGAGACACGGCCCAGACUCCUACGGGAGGCAGCAGUGGGGAAUAUUGCACAAUGGGGGAAACCCUGAUGCAGCAACGCCGCGUGAGUGAUGACGGUCUUCGGAUUGUAAAGCUCUG
rnacentral:rRNA from 1 species